AAGUGAAAGUGAAAGUAAUUCGUGCAACCUGCGUGUCACUCCCAGCAGCAGUACAGCAAAACCAGCAGCACAGUAAAGGAUCCUGAAGAUGCCCUGUCUUUCAAAACCAGUUAAAGUUGAGACAAUCACCACCGGGGUGACUCAUGGUGCCGAUGCAGAGCUGAUUGACCAGUUGAGAAGCAGAGUUAGGCUGGAGGGCACAAACC